AUUGAACGCUGGCGGCAGGCCUAACACAUGCAAGUCGAACGGUAACAGGAAGAAGCUUGCUUCUUUGCUGACGAGUGGCGGACGGGUGAGUAAUGUCUGGGAAACUGCCUGAUGGAGGGGGAUAACUACUGGAAACGGUAGCUAAUACCGCAUAACGUCGCAAGACUAAAGAGGGGGACCUUCGGGCCUCUUGCCAGCGGAUGUGCCCAGAUGGGAUUAGCUAGUAGGUGGGGUAACGGCUCACCUAGGGGACGAUCCCUAGCUGGUCUGAGAGGAUGACCAGCCACACUGGAACUGAGACACGGUCCAGACUCCUACGGGAGGCAGCAGUGGGGAAUAUUGCACAAUGGGCGCAAGCCUGAUGCAGCCAUGCCGCGUGUAUGAAGAAGGCCUUCGGGUUGUAAAGUACUUUCAGCGGGGAGGAAGGGAGUAAAGUUAAUACCUUUGCUCAUUGACGUUACCCGCAGAAGAAGCACCGGCUAACUCCGUG
rnacentral:rRNA from 1 species